rnacentral:rRNA from 1 species
ACGGGAGGCAGCAGUCGGGAGUAUUGCGCAAUGGAGGAAACUCUGACGCAGUGACGCCGCGUAUAGGAAGAAGGUUUUCGGAUUGUAAACUAUUGUCGUUAGGGAAGAUACAAGACAGUACCUAAGGAGGAAGCCCCGGCUAACUAUGUGCCAGCAGCCGCGGUCAUACAUAGGGGGCAAGCGUUAUCCGGAAUUAUUGGGUUUAAAGGGUGCGUAGACGGAGAAACAAGUUAGUUGUGAAAUCCCUCGGCUUAACUGAGGAACUGCAACUAAAACUAUUUCCCUUGAGUGUCGGAGGGGAAAGUGGAAUUCCUAGUGUAGCGGUGAAAUGCGUAGAUAUUAGGAGGAACACCGGUGGCGAAGGCGACUUUCUGGACGAUAACUGACGCUGAUGCACGAAAGUGUGGGGAGCAAACAGGAUUAGAUACCCUGGUA